AUGAAUACUCGCUGUCCGGGGAGAUUGGUCUCUGGGCGGCCAAGCGAAAGCGUUAAGUAUUCCACCUGGGGAGUACGCCGGCAACGGUGAAACUCAAAGGAAUUGACGGGGGCCCGCACAAGCGGAGGAACAUGUGGUUUAAUUCGAUGAUACGCGAGGAACCUUACCCGGGCUCAAACGACGGAUGAAUACUUUUGAAAGGAGGUAGUCCUUCGGGACAUCCGUCGAGGUGCUGCAUGGUUGUCGUCAGCUCGUGCCGUGAGGUGUCGGCUUAAGUGCCAUAACGAGCGCAACCCCCAUCGCCAGUUGCCAACAGGUAAAGCUGGGAACUCUGGCGAGACUGCCGGCGCAAGCUGUGAGGAAGGCGGGGAUGACGUCAAAUCAGCACGGCCCUUACGUCCGGGGCGACACACGUGUUACAAUGGCAGGUACAGAGAGAUGCGACACGGCGACGUGGAGCGGAACUGUCAAAACCUGUCUCAGUUCGGAUCGGAGUCUGCAACCCGACUCCGUGAAGCUGGAUUCGCUAGUAAUCGCGCAUCAGCCAUGGCGCGGUGAAUACGUUCCCGGGCCUUGCACUCACCGCCCGUCAAG
rnacentral:rRNA from 1 species